ACAUAGCAUAUCAGAAGGCACACCCGGAGAACUGAAACAUCUUAGUACCCGGAGGAAGAGAAAGAAAAUUCGAUUCCCUUAGUAGCGGCGAGCGAAACGGGAAGAGCCCAAACCAACAAGCUUGCUUGUUGGGGUUGUAGGACACUCUAUACGGAGUUACAAAGGACGACAUUAGACGAAUCAUCUGGAAAGAUGAAUCAAAGAAGGUAAUAAUCCUGUAGUCGAAAAUGUUGUCUCUCUUGAGUGGAUCCUGAGUACGACGGAGCACGUGAAAUUCCGUCGGAAUCUGGGAGGACCAUCUCCUAAGGCUAAAUACUCUCUAGUGACCGAUAGUGAACCAGUACCGUGAGGGAAAGGUGAAAAGCACCCCGGAAGGGGAGUGAAAUAGAACCUGAAACCGUGUGCUUACAAGUAGUCAGAGCCCGUUAAUGGGUGAUGGCGUGCCUUUUGUAGAAUGAACCGGCGAGUUACGAUUUGAUGCAAGGUUAAGCAGUAAAUGUGGAGCCGUAGCGAAAGCGAGUCUGAAUAGGGCGUUUAGUAUUUGGUCGUAGACCCGAAACCAGGUGAUCUACCCUUGGUCAGGUUGAAGUUCAGGUAACACUGAAUGGAGGACCGAACCGACUUACGUUGAAAAGUGAGCGGAUGAACUGAGGGUAGCGGAGAAAUUCCAAUCGAACCUGGAGAUAGCUGGUUCUCUCCGAAAUAGCUUUAGGGCUAGCCUCAAGUGAUGAUUAUUGGAGGUAGAGCACUGUUUGGACGAGGGGCCCCUCUCGGGUUACCGAAUUCAGACAAACUCCGAAUGCCAAUUAAUUUAACUUGGGAGUCAGAACAUGGGUGAUAAGGUCCGUGUUCGAAAGGGAAACAGCCCAGACCACCAGCUAAGGUCCCAAAAUAUAUGUUAAGUGGAAAAGGAUGUGGCGUUGCCCAGACAACUAGGAUGUUGGCUUAGAAGCAGCCAUCAUUUAAAGAGUGCGUAAUAGCUCACUAGUCGAGUGACACUGCGCCGAAAAUGUACCGGGGCUAAACAUAUUACCGAAGCUGUGGAUUGUCCUUUGGACAAUGGUAGGAGAGCGUUCUAAGGGCGUUGAAGCAUGAUCGUAAGGACAUGUGGAGCGCUUAGAAGUGAGAAUGCCGGUGUGAGUAGCGAAAGACGGGUGAGAAUCCCGUCCACCGAUUGACUAAGGUUUCCAGAGGAAGGCUCGUCCGCUCUGGGUUAGUCGGGUCCUAAGCUGAGGCCGACAGGCGUAGGCGAUGGAUAACAGGUUGAUAUUCCUGUACCACCUAUAAUCGUUUUAAUCGAUGGGGGGACGCAGUAGGAUAGGCGAAGCGUGCGAUUGGAUUGCACGUCUAAGCAGUAAGGCUGAGUAUUAGGCAAAUCCGGUACUCGUUAAGGCUGAGCUGUGAUGGGGAGAAGACAUUGUGUCUUCGAGUCGUUGAUUUCACACUGCCGAGAAAAGCCUCUAGAUAGAAAAUAGGUGCCCGUACCGCAAACCGACACAGGUAGUCAAGAUGAGAAUUCUAAGGUGAGCGAGCGAACUCUCGUUAAGGAACUCGGCAAAAUGACCCCGUAACUUCGGGAGAAGGGGUGCUCUUUAGGGUUAACGCCCAGAAGAGCCGCAGUGAAUAGGCCCAAGCGACUGUUUAUCAAAAACACAGGUCUCUGCUAAACCGUAAGGUGAUGUAUAGGGGCUGACGCCUGCCCGGUGCUGGAAGGUUAAGAGGAGUGGUUAGCUUCUGCGAAGCUACGAAUCGAAGCCCCAGUAAACGGCGGCCGUAACUAUAACGGUCCUAAGGUAGCGAAAUUCCUUGUCGGGUAAGUUCCGACCCGCACGAAAGGCGUAACGAUUUGGGCACUGUCUCAACG
rnacentral:rRNA from 1 species